CCCUUAGAUGUCCUGGGCCGCACGCGCGCUACACUGAGUGUCUGAGAUACGAGUCUGCCUGGUCCGGCAAAGUCUAGGUAAUCGCUAAAAGACACAUCAUGCUUGGGAUAGAUUAUUGCAAAUAUUAAUCUUCAACGAGGAAUGCCUAGUAAGCGUGAUUCAUCAAAUCGCGUUGAUUACGUCCCUGCCCUUUGUACACACCGCCCGUCGCUCCUACCGAUUGAAUGUGUUGGUGAGGAGCUCGGAUUGGCAGCAGUUGGUGGUUCGCCACCGGCUAUUGCUGAGAAGUCCUCCAAACCGCCCCAUUUAGAGGAAGGAGAAGUCGUAACA
rnacentral:rRNA from 1 species